UACGUAGGGGGCUAGCGUUGUCCGGAUUCAUUGGGCGUAAAGCGCGUGUAGGCGGCCAGGUAGGUCCGUUGUGAAAACCCGAGGCUUAACCUCGGGACGCCGACGGAAACCAUCUGGCUAGGGUCCGGAAGAGGAGAGUGGAAUUCCCGGUGUAGCGGUGAAAUGCGCAGAUAUCGGGAAGAACACCCGUGGCGAAGGCGGCUCUCUGGGACGGUACCGAGCUGAGACGCGAAAGCGUGGGGAGCGAACAGG
rnacentral:rRNA from 1 species